AUGCUAUUUGCAACUUUAGAACAUAUACUAACUCAUAUCUCUUUCUCAACGAUUUCAAUUGUGAUUACAAUUCAUUUGAUAACCUUAUUAGUUCGUGAACUUGAAGGAUUACGUGAUUCGUCAGAAAAAGGAAUGAUAGUUACUUUUUCCUCUAUAACAGGAUUCUUAGUUUCUCGUUGGGCUUCCUCGGGACAUUUUCCAUUAAGUAAUUUAUAUGAGUCAUUGAUCUUCCUUUCAUGGGCCCUGUAUAGUCUUCAUACCAUUCCUAAAAUAUAG
rnacentral:rRNA from 1 species